rnacentral:other from 1 species
GCGGCGCUGCGGGGUGCGUCAGGACAACUUGAAUCCCCGGGCCCUUACGAUUCCGAACGGGAGCUGUCCCUGGCCUCGACCGUGGUCUUGGCCAUUCACGGCGCCCACCUACUCUGUAGGUGUCCCGGGAUCUAAACGCUCCAACGGCCAUCGUGGCGCCGCG